rnacentral:rRNA from 2 species
CGACGAACUCUGGUAUUGAUUGGUGCUUGCAUCAUGAUUUACAUUUGAGUGAGUGGCGAACUGGUGAGUAACACGUGGGAAACCUGCCCAGAAGCGGGGGAUAACACCUGGAAACAGAUGCUAAUACCGCAUAACAACUUGGACCGCAUGGUCCGAGUUUGAAAGAUGGCUUCGGCUAUCACUUUUGGAUGGUCCCGCGGCGUAUUAGCUAGAUGGUGGGGUAACGGCUCACCAUGGCAAUGAUACGUAGCCGACCUGAGAGGGUAAUCGGCCACAUUGGGACUGAGACACGGCCCAAACUCCUACGGGAGGCAGCAGUAGGGAAUCUUCCACAAUGGACGAAAGUCUGAUGGAGCAACGCCGCGUGAGUGAAGAAGGGUUUCGGCUCGUAAAACUCUGUUGUUAAAGAAGAACAUAUCUGAGAGUAACUGUUCAGGUAUUGACGGUAUUUAACCAGAAAGCCACGGCUAACUACGUGCCAGCAGCCGCGGUAAUACGUAGGUGGCAAGCGUUGUCCGGAUUUAUUGGGCGUAAAGCGAGCGCAGGCGGUUUUUUAAGUCUGAUGUGAAAGCCUUCGGCUCAACCGAAGAAGUGCAUCGGAAACUGGGAAACUUGAGUGCAGAAGAGGACAGUGGAACUCCAUGUGUAGCGGUGAAAUGCGUAGAUAUAUGGAAGAACACCAGUGGCGAAGGCGGCUGUCUGGUCUGUAACUGACGCUGAGGCUCGAAAGUAUGGGUAGCAAACAGGAUUAGAUACCCUGGUAGUCCAUACCGUAAACGAUGAAUGCUAAGUGUUGGAGGGUUUCCGCCCUUCAGUGCUGCAGCUAACGCAUUAAGCAUUCCGCCUGGGGAGUACGGCCGCAAGGCUGAAACUCAAAGGAAUUGACGGGGGCCCGCACAAGCGGUGGAGCAUGUGGUUUAAUUCGAAGCUACGCGAAGAACCUUACCAGGUCUUGACAUACUAUGCAAAUCUAAGAGAUUAGACGUUCCCUUCGGGGACAUGGAUACAGGUGGUGCAUGGUUGUCGUCAGCUCGUGUCGUGAGAUGUUGGGUUAAGUCCCGCAACGAGCGCAACCCUUAUUAUCAGUUGCCAGCAUUAAGUUGGGCACUCUGGUGAGACUGCCGGUGACAAACCGGAGGAAGGUGGGGAUGACGUCAAAUCAUCAUGCCCCUUAUGACCUGGGCUACACACGUGCUACAAUGGAUGGUACAACGAGUUGCGAACUCGCGAGAGUAAGCUAAUCUCUUAAAGCCAUUCUCAGUUCGGAUUGUAGGCUGCAACUCGCCUACAUGAAGUCGGAAUCGCUAGUAAUCGCGGAUCAGCAUGCCGCGGUGAAUACGUUCCCGGGCCUUGUACACACCGCCCGUCACACCAUGAGAGUUUGUAACACCCAAAGUCGGUGGG